AGAAAAAAAGUAGCAACCUCCGCGUAGUUAUCGUCUUCCCGGGGGCCUUUCAUCGAACCUGCACUGACGCCGCAGGGGAUCCCUUGCAGUGGGAUCCGGUGGACCAGUGAUAAACGUUACCCGGUGGUAUCGCACUUCCAUGGGCCGAAACAGGAUUGUUUCCCGUUGGAAGCAAAGGAUGUGCAGUGGUGCAGUGAUGGCGGGGCUUGACAGGACGGAAAGUUUGGUGGGGAUGGUGGCUGUUCGUGUUCCGGAGAAGUUGGCGAAUUUUCGAGCAAAGCAACGGAAGCUUCUGUAAGGGCAUAGUAGUGUUUCCAGCGGGGGAGCUGCAGGUGAAACGAACCGCAAUGUCAUUGCACGAAGCAAGGACGUGAAGCCAAUGCAGGAGCAGUUAACCCAGAACUUGUUCGAUCACAUCCUGAGGUGACAUCGACGGGAAUCUUUCCGAUGAAAUAGAAUUAGAAUUAGCAUUGUUUGACUCAUUUAUACCAAACUCUUGGUGAAGCUUGUUACUGAAAUUGAAUUAUUGUUUUGUAUUUGGCCACUUUGCUAGGUCUUCUUAUAUAGGUUCGCUCUUUCAGCCUGGAAAGCAUGCAUGCUGUUGAGUCCAAUUUAAUAGUUUUCUCAUGAGACAACUAUUAAAUUUGACUCAAUUGUAUGGUUGUUCUCCAAGCUGCAGUUUAUUUAAUGUCUAGAAGUGCUAGAAUAAUGGUUAGGCACGCUGUAAUGCUACUUUUGUACCUCAUCACCCACUAAAUGCAACUACAUUAGUGGUCUAAUAACACUUAGCGCGCUUCGGCACGGUUCCAUCAUGCCGCUUAUAGUGUUGCCAC